AUAUCUUUCUCGGCUUUUUGGCUAAGAUCAAGUAUAAUAUCUGUUCUUAUUAGUUUAAUAUCUGAUAGAUCAAUAAUUUACAUAAUAUUAAAUUAAUUUUUUUAAAAAGUGAGUUCACUGUAAUAGCUUGCUAUUGGGGCUCAUAUGUGUCAUCCUUGUCUUGCACUAUUGCAAGGUUUGGUGCACCCUAA